CUACGGGUGGCUCCAGUGGGGAAUAUUGCACAAUGGAGGAAACUCUGAUGCAGCAACGCCGCGUGGAGGAUGACACUUUUCGGAGCGUAAACUCCCUUUAUAUAGGAAGAAGCUGACGGUACUAUAUGAAUAAGCGCCGGCUAACUCCGUGCCAGCAGCCGCGGUAAUACGGAGGGCGCAAGCGUUACUCGGAAUCACUGGGCGUAAAGAGCGUGUAGGCGGAUUAAAAAGUCAGAAGUGAAAUCCUAUAGCUUAACUAUAGAACUGCUUCUGAAACUCUUAAUCUAGAAUAUGGGAGAGGUAGAUGGAAUUUCUGGUGUAGGGGUAAAAUCCGUAGAGAUCAGAAGGAAUACCGAUUGCGAAGGCGAUCUACUAGAACAUUAUUGACGCUGAGACGCGAAAGCGUGGGGAGCAAACAGGAUUAGAUACCCGAGUAGUC
rnacentral:rRNA from 1 species